AUGUCUACCUGCCUCACGGAUAUGAUUUGUGCCAAUGAGGUAGAUUUCGUUGGCCUACAAGAAACUAUGAAGGGAUCUUAUAAACAUUCCCUUUUUAGGAAGAUAGACCCAUAUCAGAGAUUCCAGUGGGAAUGGGUUCCCUCGAGGGGGAAGUCGGGAGGUAUUCUGUGUGGCCUCAAUAAAGACAAAUUUGAUGUUCUCGGCUCUAAGCAGGGCAAAUAUAUCCUGCAAAUAGACUUGUUUGAUAAAAACAAGUGUAGUUGGUCUCUCCUUAUCGUAUAUGGUGCUGCUCACGAUGAGCAUAAGCCUGAAUUCAUCGCAUAAUUAUCUUCCUCGUGUCAUAGUAUCAAUAGGCCAUAUUUGGUGGGGGGGGGGGACUUCAAUAUUAUCCGCCACAAUGGUGAGAAAAACAAAAAAACACCCCUAUCUCAUUUUUCGGAGGUCUUUAACUCUGUUAUCCACUUGCUUGGUUUAAGAGAGAUUCAUAUGACUGGGGGAUGCUAUACGUGGUCCAAUAAGAAGGAAAACCCAACCCUUGAAAAAUUCGAUAGAGUGCUGAUGUCUCCUGAAUGGGAAGAUUUAUUUCCCCUUGUUUCGGUGAGCAACCUGGUGAAAGAAUUAUCAGACCACAAUCCUCUUCUAUUGGAUGGUGGGGUCGCCUCACCUAGAGCACCAGGGAAUAGGUGCUUUAAAUUUGAUAAUGAUUGGCUUAAUAAUCCAGAGUUUCUUCCCUUAGUGGCUGAUAUUUGGUCAAGACCAGUAUAUACUAUUAACCCCAUUGAUAUCCUAAACAUUAAGCUGAAGAGGUGUAAGAAAUUCUUCAAAGGUUUGGGGUCCAAUGUAUUUGGGCAUAAUAAGAUUUAG
rnacentral:rRNA from 1 species